GAUGAACGCUGGCGGCGUGCCUAAUACAUGCAAGUCGAGCGAACGGACGAGAAGCUUGCUUCUCUGAUGUUAGCGGCGGACGGGUGAGUAACACGUGGAUAACCUACCUAUAAGACUGGGAUAACUUCGGGAAACCGUAGCUAAUACCGGAUAAUAUUUUGAACCGCAUGGUUCAAAAGUGAAAGACGGUCUUGCUGUCACUUAUAGAUGGAUCCGCGCUGCAUUAGCUAGUUGGUAAGGUAACGGCUUACCAAGGCAACGAUGCAUAGCCGACCCGAGAGGGUGAUCGGCCACACUGGAACUGAGACACGGUCCAGACUCCUACGGGAGGCAGCAGUAGGGAAUCUUCCGCAAUGGGCGAAAGCCUGACGGAGCAACGCCGCGUGAGUGAUGAAGGUCUUCGGAUCGUAAAACUCUGUUAUUAGGGAAGAACAUAUGUGUAAGUAACUGUGCACAUCUUGACGGUACCUAAUCAGAAAGCCACGGCUAACUACGUG
rnacentral:rRNA from 1 species